rnacentral:rRNA from 1 species
AGUGAACGCUGGCGGCAGGCCUAACACAUGCAAGUCGAGCGGCAGCGCGGGGUCAACCCUGGCGGCGAGCGGCGGACGGGUGAGGAAUUCGUCGGAAUCUGCCUUUUUGUGGGGGAUAACGUAGGGAAACUUACGCUAAUACCGCAUACGUCCUACGGGAGAAAGUGGGGGACCGCAAGGCCUCACGCAGAAAGAUGAGCCGACGACCGAUUAGCUAGUUGGUGGGGUAAAGGCCCACCAAGGCGAGGAUCGGUAGCUGGUCUGAGGGGAUGAUCAGCCACACUGGGACUGAGACACGGCCCAGACUCCUACGGGAGGCAGCAGUGGGGAAUAUUGGACAAUGGGCGCAAGCCUGAUCCAGCCAUGCCGCGUGUGUGAAGAAGGCCUUCGGGUUGUAAAGCACUUUUGUCCGGAAAGAAAUCCCUGGAGCUAAUACCUUCGGGGGAUGACGGUACCGGAAGAAUAAGCACCGGCUAACUUCGUG